rnacentral:rRNA from 1 species
UACGUAGGGUGCAAGCGUUGUCCGGAAUUAUUGGGCGUAAAGAGCUCGUAGGCGGUCUGUCGCGUCGGCUGUGAAAACCUGGGGCUUAACUCCGGGCCUGCAGCCGAUACGGGCAGACUAGAGUUCGGCAGGGGAGACUGGAAUUCCUGGUGUAGCGGUGAAAUGCGCAGAUAUCAGGAGGAACACCGGUGGCGAAGGCGGGUCUCUGGGCCGAAACUGACGCUGAGGAGCGAAAGCCAGGGGAGCAAACGGG